AUUGAACGCUGGCGGCAGGCCUAACACAUGCAAGUCGAACGGUAACAGGAAGCAGCUUGCUGCUUUGCUGACGAGUGGCGGACGGGUGAGUAAUGUCUGGGAAACUGCCUGAUGGAGGGGGAUAACUACUGGAAACGGUAGCUAAUACCGCAUAACGUCGCAAGACCAAAGAGGGGGACCUUCUGGCCUCUUGCCAUCGGAUGUGCCCAGGUGGGAGUAGCUAGUAGGGGGGGUAACGGCUCACCUAGUCGACGAGCCCGAGCGGGUCUGAGAGGAUGACGGGCCACACUGGAAGUGGGCCACGGUCCAUGCUCCUGCGGGAGGGCGCAGUGGGGAAUGUUGCGCAAUGGGCGCAAGCCUGAUGCAGCCAUGCCGCGUGUAUGAAGAAGGCCUUCGGGUUGUAAAGUACGUUCAGCGGUUAGGAAGGGAGUAAAGUUAAUACCUUUGCUCAUUGACGUUACCCGCAGAAGAAGCACCGGCUAACUCCGUG
rnacentral:rRNA from 1 species